CUUCUCAUAAGGCUCAACAUACCCCAGUUCUCAGAGGAGCUAAUCUCACUAAGUAAUCUUAAAGAUGCGCGAGCACGGAGGGGGAAAGUCCUGGCUUCGGCACUUAAAAGAUGCACAACACAAAACUCCCAAAUACUGUAUGCAUGCAUUUAUUAAUCCUUUCUGGCAAGUAAUCUCGCAAUGUUUAUGCGCCGGGCUAAUCUUCAUUUCCUCUGCUGGGGGACCGAGGACGAGACGCCCACUCGCAGGUACUUUGAGACAACUUUUUGCUGAAGUGCUGAGGAGGCAGGCAGGUAAGCAGGCACGUCAGCAGCGGGGCAGAGGUGCUGUUAGUCUGAUGAGCAGUAAAGCUGUCAACACCAGAAUAGCUGGGAGGAGAUGCAUUUGCUCUCAUGUUUACCAAGCUAAAAAUCCGGUCCGCCUAAUAUCCACCAUGUUGUGCCAAAUGCUGAAGAACCUUUACAAGCCACAUUCUCAAACUUUAAAGAGUGAAAUAUGAUGCGGGGUGAAGCUCAACUCUCACAAGUCGAGGCAGCCGUCGUACAUCUCCUGCUGCGUUUGGAGAGCAUCCUCGGCUGUCGAGGACUGGAUUUGUUGUUGCGAUAAAGCAUGAUGAAGGUGUUUCUCUCGUACCAAAAAGUGUGAUUGGAGUCUUUCCCACUGACGUAAGCCUGAGAGGAGCGUUUUCAAAGAAAGCAGUGAUGUAAUGGAAUAUGAAGCCUCCUGCUUCUACCCCUCUGGGAUCCCUGAAACCAAACCCAACAGCUCCCUCGCUUGGUGGAAACACGGAACUACGCCAAGUGUCAGCUGCUGCUUGUGUACUCUCUGUCUUCGUGUGCACAUACCUUCCAUCUGUCCACAAGUAUACUGCUGCACAUUUCUCCUCGCCCUUUUCAUUUCAUUGUGUAAUAUUCCAUUCAGGAUGCCAGAUUGGUCCUUCAAUGAAUUGUUAUUUUCUAGACACGCAGGCAGCUCCUCUGUCAUUGUAACUGCCAAAAGCGUGAAACAUUUAUUGGACUCAAGUCCCCACUAAGGAAUCCAACGCUAAUGCUUCUCCUUCACCUCCCCUCCUCUUCUUGUCUUCCGUCCUUGUUCUCCGUCUUCAUCAAAGCGAGGAGCCACCAGCUCUCUUUGCCUCUGGGAGACCCCACAUCGAGACGCACUUUCUGUCCCAGCCUCCUCUGAAGAUGCAACUGAGAAGAAAACAGAGUUCUUUAACAGCUCUGAUGUUUCAUGGCGAGGACAUAAAGACAGAGCUUUUUUUUUCCUCAAUGACAUACGUGACUUUCUAUUUUAUAUAUAUACUGUAUAUAAAACUUUAAGAACA